AUUGAACGCUGGCGGCAGGCCUAACACAUGCAAGUCGAGCGGAUGAAGGGAGCUUGCUCCUGGAUUCAGCGGCGGACGGGUGAGUAAUGCCUAGGAAUCUGCCUGGUAGUGGGGGAUAACGUCCGGAAACGGGCGCUAAUACCGCAUACUUCCUGAGGGAGAAAGUGGGGGAUCUUCGGACCUCUCGCUAUCAGAUGAGCCUAGGUCGGAUUAGCUAGUUGGUGGGGUAAAGGCCUACCAAGGCGACGAUCCGUAACUGGUCUGAGAGGAUGAUCAGUCACACUGGAACUGAGACACGGUCCAGACUCCUACGGGAGGCAGCAGUGGGGAAUAUUGGACAAUGGGCGAAAGCCUGACCCAGCCAUGCCGCGUGUGUGAAGAAGGUCUUCGGAUUGUAAAGCACUUUAAGUUGGGAGGAAGGGCAGUAAGUUAAUACCUUGCUGUUUUGACGUUACCAACAGAAUAAGCACCGGCUAACUUCGUG
rnacentral:rRNA from 1 species